GUCUCUAUGUUAGGGUAAAUUGUUAAGAUUUAAACUUACUCAUAUUACCUUCCACCAUGGGGCUUGCAACCGUCACUUGUGUCUUGAGCAGUUAAAAGAUAGAACGGUCAAGUCCAGCACCAUGUCUCUUGUUCUUUGAUCAACUAUAGCUCUCGAGUUUUUGUAGAUUUUCAAAUAAAACUUAGAGAUUCCUUGUAUGACUCUCUCUAGUCUCUCUUUUGUGGUAUUUCUGGAUCCUUACUAAGGCAGUGAUGAUAUACACCUUCUCUCAAAGUAUGUAGUAUUUGUGGUAUGAGGCAUAGUGAUAUUGCCUUCUCUCUCACCCUACUCUAAUAAGGUUUGAUAUGUGGAGCUCAUAGGUGGGAGACAGCUAAUACAUACUUACAAGACAUUUAUUGCAUAGUCAAACCAUGGAUCCAGAGAAACAAGUCAAUAAGUCAAAUCAAGAUGUGCAUGUGUGGCGGAUGAAUGGUGUAUGGUGAUGAUGGUGAUAAUGGUGAAAAUAAUGGUGAAAGUCUAAUUCUACUUUUGCUCUUUUGAGGGAAUACAUACCUUUCUUGCACUUUGAAGGUUUUUGAGAGGAAUGAGAUGCUCUAUAUUUUCUUUUUGUUUUCUCUCAGGUGGGUAUCUUGUACCCCUAAUUCUACUGUCGGACACUUGUCCAUUUUUACCUCUCGUCUCAAUUUUUUUUUCUUUCGAGGUUCCAUGCACUUGCCCCUUUUUAUUUCCUCGUAUUUUUCUUCUUUUUUUUCAGAGCACUCACCCUCCUGGAAUAAUGUAGCAAGUGGUAGUAACCAAAAUAGCUCGAGCAUUUAUUUCACAGGGAAAAAUAGGAAUGGGAUAAUGUUUUUGGCUAUUCUCUCCCGGAUAGGAGUAGAAUAAUUCUGGGUGAAUCUGGAGAUGGAAAUGAGUGGAUGUAUGUGGAUGCGUACUCCGGAGUAGAAGCAGCAUGUAUGAGUGAACGUGCAAGUGAAUCUUGAUUUUAACUGCAUGACAAGCUCCUAAGGGUCUACACAGCUUGACCACACUCAAUACUCAUAAGCAGUAAAAAGUAAAUGUAUGGUUCAUAGUUUAAUAAGCAUGUAUAUAUGGCGGUGGUAGGAUUUUAAACUUUCAUCAUAUAGGAACUCAUCAUGCAACAUUUUAAAUAUUUUCAAAGAUAAAAUUUCUCUAGAAUUCUAGCAUCUCUAGGAACAGAUAAACAGCAGCUCAACCUUCCCAUAUCAUAUCCGUUAACGACUAAGACUUUAGAUCAAGUACUCUUCCCACAAGUUUAAGUUUAGAGCAAAUCUUAAUUCAUAACAGUCAUGCCUAAACUUGAGAGAGAUUUCAAUUUUGAGAACUAGUCAUGGCAGAGCAACUAUUCAUCAUUUCCAUGUGAGAGCUUAUCAUGAGGGUUCAUAGCAAACUUUAUUUAUUUAUUUAUUUAGCAAACUAAGAAAAGAUAUAUAUAUAAGCAUAAAAUCUUUAUUUGGGUUUUUAUGAUUAUGCAUCUUUUUAUUAUUUUAACAAAGUAUAAGUAUAAACGUAGAUAGAAAUACUUAGCUGGAUAAAUGGGGGUGCUCUCCCCCAAGCUGGAUUUUGACGUAAUUUCUUUUGAUGUAGCUAGCAGGUGGCGGAGGUGUAUUUGAAUGUCGGCAGCACCCUGACAGCGAUUAGAAUGUCCUCCGUCUGCUAGUCUUCUUUGAUCCUUGAAUUCUGUGGAGCUCAAAUAGACAACAAAGCUUUGUGGAACUGGUUAAGUGUUAGCAUAAAAUCUCUUUGCCUUUAUCAUAUUGAUCUUCCUCCAAUAAAUAUUACUCUCUUUGGUAGGAUCAUAAAUUUAUGUUUAUAUUUUCAUUUCUAUAGGACAAGAAUAUAUUUAUUUUAUUUUUACGCCACCACAGUGAAUGUACUUAUGGGUUUCAUUCCACGAGCAUACUCACAUGGGGCUUAGUAUUUUUUAACAUUUUUUUAUUUUCUUUUCAAGAUAGCAUGAUUAACUAAUAAGCUAUUUAAGGAAAGUAAAUAAUUAAAGGGAAAAGGGAAUGCAGAAAGGAUAAACCGAAUUUACCUUUCGGCGAGGAUUCAAUGUUUUAAGUCUUCUGAACAAGACUUCUCACCGUGUUCAUUCUUCAGGUGCGUCAUUUGAUUCAGGUGUGGACCUUGACGUCUGCACCUCUUAAUACGGUGUCACCCAUGUUCUUUGUUUGCCCCGUAGUUCGAAGUGCGGUGUUGGCAGUAUCUUGCUCAGUGUGUUUGUGCUCGUAGUGUACCUGGUCAUAGAGACAAGGCAGAGAUCAAGUGCAUGGGCCCUGUUGGUGGAAAACACCAACAGAACCAAAAGUGUAUUUGUUCUUCUCUAACCUCAAGCAUGGUGAGCAAGACAAAGUUGAUGAAUGAUAAGUUCAUGACUGUAGCAUUUAAAACAUUUGCCGGAUCAGAUCGCUCAACGUAAUGGGAAGACAAUCUAUCUAUAUAUAUGUCUUUUUCUUUAUAUCUUCUCAAAGAUUAAAUGUGCAAGAUUUUAGCUCAUAUGACUAGGAGUGUGGGGAUCAAAGAUUAAGGGACUAAACAUGCUGAAUCAGUGGGGUUGGUUAAUUUGGAGUUAUAAAUCAUACGUGUUUGUCUCUUUUAUUCAUAUGAACGCCAGAACCAAGGAGAAGCUUAUAAAAGUGAUAGUCAAGUACCUUAAGGUGUUACCUUAAUUGAAGAGUGAUGGUACAGUCUCACCUUGUGGAAGCUUUCCUUUCUUAGUGGUUGUGCAUCGUGUUUGUAGCACCCUCCAUAGAUCAUCUCUUAUGAGCUACGUCUUCCUUGUGUAAAUUGUUAAACUUCAUGUGUCCUCUCUCUUUGUCUCUGAUGUGAGUUUAUCUCAGGACUUCCCAAGUCGAUAUUGAAAGUUUUCCUGCAGGGGUUAGUCCAAUAAAAUAUCCAAUAUCUACUAUAGCAUACUAUCGGCUCAAAAAUCAACCUAGACACCAUGUCUAAUUUGAUUUAGGAGGGCAUUUUAACCUAAGCACCAUGCUUAAUUUAAAAUCCCUUGGAAGUAAGAUCGUCAUUCCUAAACUAAGCACCAUGCUUACUUAAGAGAUAAAUGAAACUCAGAGAUUCCUUGUAUGACUCUCUCUAGUCUCUCUUUUGUGGUAUUUCUAGAUCCUUACCAAGGCAGUAAAGGUGUAUGCCUUCUCUCAAAGUAUGUGGUAUUUUUGGUAUGAGGCAUAGUAACAUUGCCUUCUCUCUCACCCUACUCUAAUAAGGCUUUUGAUAUCUGGAGCUCAUAGGUGGGAGAUAGCUAAUACAUACUUACAAGACAUUUAUUGCAUAGUCAAACCAUGGAUCCAGAGAAACAAGUCAAUAAGUCAAAUCAAGAUGUGCAUGUGUUGCGAAUGAAUGGUGUAUGGUGAUGAUGGUGAUAACAAUGGUGAAAGUCUAAUUCUACUUUUGCUCUUUUGAGGGGAUACAUACCUUCCUUGCUCUUUUGAAACUUUUGGAAAGAAUGAGAUGCUCUGUAUUUUCUUUUUCUUUCCUCUCAGGUGGGUAUCUUGUACCCCUAAUUCUACUGUCGGACACUUGUCCAUAUUUACCUCUCGUCUCACUUUUUCUUUUCUUUCGAGGUUCCAGGCACUUGCCCCUUUUUAUUUCCUCAUAUACUCUUUUUUUCUCCUUUUUUUCUUUUUUUAGAGCACUCAUCUCAUGAGAUAAUAUAGCAAGUGGUAGUGACAAGAUAACUUGAGAAUUUAUUUCACAGGGGAAAACAGGAAUAGGAGAAUGUUUUUGGCUAUUCUCUCCCGGAUUAGGAGUAGAAUAUUUUUUGGGUGGUUCUGGAGAUGGGAAUGGAUGGAUAUAUGUGAAUGCAUACUUCCGGAGUAGAAGCAGCAUGUGUGAGUGAACAUGCAAGUGAAUCUUGAUUUAACCACAUGACAAGCUCCUAAAGGUCAACACAGCUUGACCACACUCAAUGCUCAUAAGCAGUAAAAAGUAAAUGUGUGGCUCAAAGCAUGUAUAUAUGGCUGUGGUACGAAUUUAAACUCUCAUCAUACAGGAACUCAUCAUGCAACAUUUUAAAGAUUUUCAAAGAUAAAAUUCUCCAGAAUUCUAGCAUCUCUAGGAACAGAUAAACAGCAGCUCAACCUUCCCAUAUCAUAUCCGUUAACGACUUAGAUUUUAGAUCAAGUACUCUCCCCACAAGUUUAGGUUUAGAGCAAAACUUAACUAAUAACCGUCAGGCCUAAACUUGAGAGAGAUUUCAAUUUUGAGAACUAGUCAUGGCAGAGCAACUACUCAUCAUUUCCAUGUGAGAGCUUAUCAUGAGGGUUCAUAGCAAACUUUAUUUAUUUAUUUAUUUAGCAAACUAAGCAAAGAUAUAUAUAUAAGCACAAAAUCUUUAUUUGGGCUUUUAUGAUUAUGCAUCUUUUUAUUAUUUGAGUAAAGUAUAAACAUGAGUAGAACACUUAGUUGGAUAAAUGGGGGUGCUCUCCCCCAAGCUAGAUCUUGACAUAAUUCCUUUUGAUGUAGCUAGCAGGUGGCAGAGGUGUAUUUGAAUGUCAGCAGCACACUGACAGCAACUAGGAUGUCCUCCGUCUGCUAGUCUUCUUUGAUCCUUGAAUUCUGUGGAGCUCAAAUAGACAACAAAGCUCUUGGCAAGGCGUUCGGUGUUUUUUAAGUCCUCCGAACGGGACUCUCCGUUUUCUCAGUCGUCCUGGGAUUCGCUGGAUGGCGUAGUCGGUGGUUCCUGUGACGCCUGCUCUUCGUGUAUAACUAUCUUCUCUCUCCACACCUGACUCGGUGCUACGGUCUCCUUAGGACAGUUCUGUUCAAGCUGUAUAUCUUCAGACCUUACAACUUCUCCAUCAUAGUCUACCCAUCUAUCCUUGAUGAUUUUGCCUCCUCUGGAUGCGGUUGCGUUGUCUUCUUCUUGUCCUGACCUGCUUAGAGUCUUCAACUAUAUAGUUAGGGUCAGUAAAAUAGUGGCGUACCUUCUCAGAGGGGAAGUGCAUGUGGACUUCUUCGGUUCCAAUGUAGAUGAUUGCUUUAACGGUGCUGAGGAACGAUCUCCUAAGUAUGAUGGGUGGAUCGUUCUCGUCUUCUCCCAUGUCAAUAACCUUCAACCUUUCGGAAUGUCUGAUAUGCCAUCUGGAGCUGAAUGUAUGUCGGUUUUAGGGGCAUGGUUCUGAAUAGGAGCUGAUAGGUGACUGGGUUGUCCUUUUUGGUUAGGAAUGGUGACUUAAGUCGACGAUCUUGACCUCCUUGAACUGCAGUGACCAUCUUAGCUGACUCGGUACACAUUUGCUUGUUCUUGUUCCUCCUGUUGGUCCUCUUCCUUGGUUCAUGUCAGGAUUGCUCUGAGAUUUGUGUAGUCUUGCUCGUGAAGGAAAACGUCUCCUUCCUCCCUUUGAUGUAGAAACUGAUCUUGGCAGCACU
rnacentral:lncRNA from 1 species